ACAGGAGAAAACAGAACUUCCAAAGGUUAAAAAGGUUGUGACAUCAUCGUCAAAUGAAGAAAAACCCAAACAGGAAAAAGCAGAACCUGUUGUGGAUAAAGAUAAGGAAGAUCAGUCCAAACAUUUGAUUGGAGGAGAAAGGCUGACUUUUGAUGAAGUACAGAAAAGGUUCCAUGAUAUGACAGAUGAAGAAUUACACGAGAAUCUUCCUAGUGGAGAUAUGGGGACUAGAUUUGUAAAGUUUCUAAAUAGGAAACGUGAUAUAGAUUUGAUGAAGAGACUCCCAGAUGAUUUAACUAAAAGAAUAUUUGCAUCUAACGCAUUAAGGAGAGAAACUGCAUCCAUUGACAUGAUGCAAUUAUUGUAUGAGAGACAUCAUGAUAAAGUUUUACAAGGU